CUUGAGAUUCGCUUUGACCUACGAGUGCUGUGGAUCCCAAGCUUGUUUCCGGAACGAAUUACGCUCGCAAAGCAAGGUUUUACUGUAUCUCCCUCUCCGUUGUCCUCCCGGGUUACCCCUGGGAACUGGAUGCCACCCACCUCCGUGAGGUAGACCCGCCUGGCACCCUCAGCCUGACAGCCAGACCCCACUGCGGGCCUCCUUGCCACCCACACUCACCAGAACCCAAGACGACAGGAGGAGACUAGAGCCCCGGCAGUUCUCCCGGGAGCCGCCACCCCGUUUCUGGGAACACAGGACUGACUGUCAACACUCUGCGUUCACACGGAAGCUUUCUCUUCUCCAAAAGCAGCAAGAGAAGCUUGUGGAGAUGAUGCCCCUUGGUUUAAUUCAGAGCUGGAGUAUCCUCAGGAAAAGCCUGCCCUUGAGACUCCAUGUUCAGUGCCGUCCGAAAGCCUUGUCUCCGGGACUGAAGGCUGGGUGGAACCGUCAGGCACGGUCCCCACCCUCGGCCUGGCCCUCGAUGGACGCUGGGUUUAUCACUGGCCACUUGGAGAUGUGGCUCGGGACAGACACGCAGCUCUCCGAGUGGCGCAGACAAGAGGAACAGAAGACAUAAACCCCUGGAAAUGAGCUCCACUCGCUGCCUCCCCUCCAGGGUUUCUGAGAACUGCCUCUGCCUUAAGCCCUCUGGCUUUGCCGAGGAUUGAGGCCUGCAAAAUUCUAGCAACUUCAGAACUCAGCGGUGAUCUCUGGGGACCUGGGGGCUGGCUGUCCGGUCCGCCUCCCCCCAGCCCCCCCCACCAUCCUCUGUCCUGCAGCCCCUCCCCCCAGCCCCCCCACCAUCCUCUGUCCUGCAGCCCCUCCCCCCAGC
rnacentral:lncRNA from 1 species